GACGAACGCUGGCGGCGUGCCUAACACAUGCAAGUCGAGCGGGGAUUUAAGUGGAAGUUCUUCGGAAUGGAGAUUUAAAUUCUAGCGGCGGACGGGUGAGUAACGCGUGAACAAUCUGUCCCGGACAGGGGGAUAACACUUGGAAACAGGUGCUAAUACCGCAUAAGACCACGGCCUCGCAUGGGGCUGAGGUAAAAGGAGCAAUCCGGUUCGGGGUGAGUUCACGUCCGAUUAGCUAGUUGGUGAGGUAACGGCCCACCAAGGCGACGAUCGGUAGCCGGCCUGAGAGGGUGAACGGCCACAUUGGAACUGAGAGACGGUCCAAACUCCUACGGGAGGCAGCAGUGGGGAAUAUUGGGCAAUGGGCGAAAGCCUGACCCAGCAACGCCGCGUGAGGGAAGAAGGUUUUCGGAUUGUAAACCUCUGUCCUAUGGGACGAAGGAAGUGACGGUACCAUAGGAGGAAGCCCCGGCUAACUACGUG
rnacentral:rRNA from 1 species